GAUGAACGCUGGCGGCGUGCCUAAUACAUGCAAGUCGAGCGCACCGACGAGGAUCUUGCUCCUCUGACGUUAGCGGCGGACGGGUGAGUCCCACGUGGAUAACCUACCUAUAAGACUGGGAUAAUUUCGGGAAACCGGAGCUCAUACCGGAUAAUAUAUUGAACCGCAUUGUUCAAUAGUGAAAGACGGUUUUGCUGUCACUUAUAGAUUGAUCCGCGCCGCAUUAGCUAGUUGGUAAGGUAGCGGCUUACCAAGGCAACGAUGCGAAGCCGACCUGAGAGGGUGAUCGGCCACACGGUAACUGAGACACGGUCCAGACACCGACGGUAGGCCGCAGUAGGGAAUCUUACGCAAGGGGCGAAAGCCUGACGGAGCAACGCCGCGUGAGUGAUGAACGUCUCCGGAUCGUAAAACUCUGUUAGUAGGAAAGAACAAAAGUGUAAGUAACUAGGCACGUCUUGACGGUACCUAAACAGAAAGCCACGGCUAACUACGUG
rnacentral:rRNA from 1 species